AUUGAACGCUGGCGGCAGGCCUAACACAUGCAAGUCGAGCGGAUGAAGGGAGCUUGCUCCUGGAUUCAGCGGCGGACGGGUGAGUAAUGCCUAGGAAUCUGCCUGGUAGUGGGGGAUAACGUCCGGAAACGGGCGCUAAUACCGCAUACGUCCUGAGGGAGAAAGUGGGGGAUCUUCGGACCUCACGCUAUCAGAUGAGCCUAGGUCGGAUUAGCUAGUUGGUGGGGUAAAGGCCUACCAAGGCGACGAUCCGUAACUGGUCUGAGAGGAUGAUCAGUCACACUGGAACUGAGACACGGUCCAGACUCCUACGGGAGGCAGCAGUGGGGAAUAUUGGACAAUGGGCGAAAGCCUGAUCCAGCCAUGCCGCGUGUGUGAAGAAGGUCUUCGGAUUGUAAAGCACUUUAAGUUGGGAGGAAGGGCAGUAAGUUAAUACCUUCCUGUUUUGACGUUACCAACAGAAUAAGCACCGGCUAACUUCGUG
rnacentral:rRNA from 1 species